rnacentral:piRNA from 1 species
GGGGAUNUAGCUCAGUGGUAGAGCGCAUGCU